GAGAGUAUAGCUCAAUGGUAGACUAUGUGCCUAGUAUGCAUGAGGUCCUGGGUUCAAUCCCCAGUGCCUCCA
rnacentral:tRNA from 1 species